UCAGAAGUAGGUGAGCGCGCGCAGCCAGC
rnacentral:sRNA from 1 species